GUUGAUGAGAAUCGUCGUUGAUCAAGUCGUGCAAUUACUUCGGUAAUUUCACGUACUUCCGGUCACGAAGCAAUAAGUCCUCACUUAUUCUGAGGGCUUCAAGAACUUCUACUCGUCCAUUCUGACCUGGACCGUGGAAGAGGCGAGAGUGCGUGAAAAUCUUUUAGUGUCGCGGUGUGUUUUAUCUGUUAUUGACCUUUGUCAAAGGUUACGUGCGGUCAAAUUGUGUGUGCGAUUCAGUAAAAGAGAAGCCGUUCGACGGCUUUUUAUUUAGGAUUCGCUUCUAGCGAUCCACGGCCCAUACUCGGCACACCGCAUCCACAAGCCAAACGCAACUCUCGACCCCACGCUUCAGUGCACAGAAGUCCCGGUUUGAGGGGAAAGCCGGAAGGGAACCAUCGUUCCGACAGAGUGGCCAUCGAAAGCCUUUUUUCUUCGCUACGACCCGUAGCGCGACAGCAUCAAGCCUUCGACGAUCCCCAUCGUCGUCAUCUGCGCCAUCUUUUGUCGGUGCGCGCGUCUCAGUACCAGUUCGGGACCAUCCACCGUCUGGGAAUUUCCGUUGCGCAGCAGUCCAUCGUUUUGGACCAAUCGUCGCCGUAGUCUACGAGAGAACUCCGCCAUCGUCGCAUUUGGCACGGUUGCCGCAAUACAUCGCCUCCAUCGACGGCCCGCCGGUAAAAUUCUGCUUUACCAUCAGCUUUCGUCCGCUGCCGGACAAAGGGUACCGUGAGUACAAAGCCAAACAAAUAACAAUACGCAUGCGUUAAACUCCACACACUAAUCCCGAGCUCGAAGAUCGACGAUGGUCGAUAGUAGAAGUUAGACGUCGAUAGAAGCCAGAAAUCCGCACACACACAGU